UUUCCGUAGGUGAACCUGCGGAAGGAUCAUUACUGAAUGAAAUUGAGUGGGGUUGUAGCUGGCUUACUUCGUUGGGCAUGUGCACGCCUCAUUCGAUCCAACCUUCUAUACCUCUGUGCACUUCUCAUGGGUUGAGCUACAUCUGAAAUAUUGAUGAGGGCCCUUCUCAUGUGUUUUUACACACACAUAGAGUUAUGUUUCAGAAUGUCUCUAUAAUGUGCAAUAGGCAUAUAUAAUACAACUUUCAGCAACGGAUCUCUUGGCUCUCGCAUCGAUGAAGAACGCAGC
rnacentral:misc_RNA from 1 species